AGUGGGAAAAGCCACUAAAUUUGAGAAAUUACUAUGAAACUGCAACUAUAAAAACAGGUUAAAAUAUUUUGAAGAAGAAGGCCUAUGCAAAUCAAAUAGUUUAACACAAGAUACUAGGCUACGAAAAUAAAUUUAGUUUUCAAUAAACAAUUCCAUCAGGGGGUUAAAGCCAAAAGAGUGUUCUUAAUUAACAAUUUAAAUGAUGCUAUUUGCAAAUGAGCGUCUAGUAUAAGGUUUAUUUAUAGAAACUUAUUAUUUCUCCAGCAACUGACAUCUUGUAUUCAUUUUACAAACAAAAAGGUUUAAAAAAUAAAUGUAGAAAAUACUUAUCAUGCAAAGUUUUGCAGAAAAGUUUCUUAGGAGCUCAAUUCCCCAAUCUGUAAGUAAAUAGUCAUAACAUUCUGUCUCUGCUUUUAUACACCACAUUGCAGUACUCAGCACCUGACAACCACCAUGAUAUUACAAGUCCAUAAGCAAUCUGACGAUCUUCUUCCUAUUAGACAAGCUAAGGAGACUUUUUUCCUUUUCCUCUCCUUUUCCCCACCCUCAAAAGGUGGGCUAUUUUUCAAUAUGGCAGAUUUACAACAAAUGGCAGGUACCUUGUACAGUUUUUUUUUAAAAAAAACUAUAUAUACUGCAUUGCAAUAAUCACAAAUUUUGAAACAAAUUUACCUAAUUUUAGCCUUUAAAAUGUCUUGAGAUAUUGGUGUGGAUAAAGCCAAGUAAUCCCAGUUUCCAGAUUGAAACAAUUUUUAAGAAACACCAAGUUGUGCCCAAAGCAAAUGAAAUGAACCAACCACCAGCAAUAAAACAGAAAAUAUAUAUACAAUAAUAUUUUUAUAGUGAUGGCAAGUGUUAAAGAUGAUCCUCUAUAUUAAAUUUUUUAUCAAUAAAAAUACACUUACGAAAAAGAUAGAUUUAUAUUUCAGUUGAACUUAUUUUAUCCCUAAUUGAGGUAUCAGGGAGAUCAUGCAUAGCUUAUUUUUGAAGAUCCCUUAGGCAUCAAAGGGCCUAUGUGCUCAAAACAACAAGUUACUCAAAGUUAAUGAAAGCUAGGGGUGUAUAAGGAAUUCAAGAUAACCCUUCCGCUAGGAUAGUACAGCCUACCCAUACCUGGUGUUUUAUGGCUUGUCAUGGAAAACAGAUUCUUUUUAAGAUCUACCUUUGUUUACUGAAAAGUAAACAAUGUGUGUGUAUAUAAAGAAAAUCCUGCCCAGGUAGUACUGAGGAUGCUAACAGCAGCAUCCCCUUGGGGCAUUGGCUGUAAAUGAGAUUCUGUACAAGCUAGAAUGGAAAGGGGGGCAGCGGGGAGGAGGGGGGCAAAAGAGAACAAGUGGCUUUAACUGCUCGCUCUUUGGCCCAAUCUAGUCUAUAGAAACUGCCACGUUUGACACUGAGUGAUAGAUAGCACAUGCAGCAUUGAAACUGUAGCUUUACUGCUAUGGAGCGGGUCAACACCAUUCAGCAGCUGUUUAGCUCCUUUCUUGUAACUGGACAGUUUGUUCAUAACUGAUGUUAACCCCUCCACAUAGCAGCACUGUAAAUCUAACAAACCAACAAUAUAAAUGGCCACAUUUAGGAAGACAAGCACAGCAAAGAACUCCAACAGCCACAUCCUGGCUCUUGUUUUGGCAGUGGGAGGAGUGGGGAGGUGAAGGAAGAGAACGCCAUCCUUCAUGGACGCAGGUGUCUAGCAGUUAGUGCUUUCUUAUAUAAACAGAUGCUAAAAAUUCUCAUCUGUCAAGAGAACUGGAGAAGGUCUAAUCCUUGAGUGCUAUGUGCCCUUCAAACUCCUGUAGUUAAUCAAGCCAAUGGAUGUCAGCUCCCACUAAUCACCUCACCUCUCAUGGGAGCCCCAGCAUCUCUCAUGAUUCAGCCAAAAGUGACCAGAAUCAAGUUUCAAUCAAUAUUUGUGCAACAUGAUCAAAAAAAAAAAAAAAAAAAAAAAAAAAAAGAUUGACUGGAAAAACUGUAGCAAAUAAAUCAACUAUUUUUCAUAUAAUCAAGCAAAAACAGAUGGCUCACACAAUCUCUCCUUACUUCCAAUUAAUGGAAGAGACAAUUACAACCAGAAAUCAAAUCAGGCCUCCACCAAAAUUAUGAGAUUUUUGAUUGCCUUUUCAUGAUUGAGCCUUUAGGAGUCACGUUUUCAAAUUUUUACUCUGCAACCAUGAUGGCUAGAAAUGUUUUUAUUAAUCAAUAAUGAAAGUUGAGACUCUCACCAGUCACACAAAUCCAGGAGCUGGGGCUAAGAAAUACUAAAUAUAAGAGCUGGCAACACAGUUAUCUACAAAAUGGGACAUUAACCAGAGACUUAGGAAUCCACACACUAAUUUGAUAUAGCUCAUCCCCACACUUUUGGCAGAAGAUUCAGUCUACUGAAACAUUCCACAUGAUUAUGUUUUUCCAGUGAUAAAUAUGGCAUUCUAGUGUUUCAGAAAAGCUCACACGCGAGUUCAAAUUAAUUGUAAAGUAACUUUUUCAUUCUUUUAUUCAGACUUCAUAAAUACAUUUUGGACAGGAAGUCAUUUUAAAAUAGGUCCGUAUAAUUACAGACGUUUAGAACGUAUCUGAUUUAAUUCAAAUUUAAGAGAAAUACAGACAUAAUUGGAAUACAAAAUAUUUCAUGACCAACCCACAGCUUUAAGAGUACAUCAUUUGCAGAAUAAAACCAAGUACUACUCUGAAUACCAGUACAUCCACACCAUAGUCAAGAUCUUUUGAGUGGGAUGUUAUUGUUUACAGUAAUCUGUAGGUUCAGUACUCUCUCUCCAUCAGGGCUAUAGAACCACACUGUUAACAGCACAAAAAUUAUACAUUAUAGGACAAUCUCCCUUCUAUUCUUCCAAAUAGCUUUCAUCUUACAAAAGCAGCUGCUGCAAGUUACAUUGGAUCAGGAAACUUCUAAACCAGUGGUUUUCAAUAUACAGAUUACAAGUCCCAAGAAGGAAUUAGGUCAUCAGCAGUUACUAGGCGGAGUGGAAGGCUGGCACGAUACAAAGCUACACCAUUCCAUCUCCAUAGCACUGAAGUAGAUUUGCUCAGACAAAUACUUAUCCUCAGAUGCUAGCAGCAUGAGUUCACAUCACAGCAAGUCAGAAGGUGCAAAGGAUUUUAAGGCAGAUCUUAAAGGAAAUCAGUAGAGUGACAUUUGGGGGGCCUGAGGGGGAAAAUACUGGAGAGAAGUUUUGAGAUCUGAACAGACAAAUAAGGAAAGUUCCAAAACCCAUUCAUCCCCAAGGGAAGAGAUCAUCACAAUUAGAUGCAAAAUCAAGGUCUGCACAUCUCUAGUGUACAAAUAUCCCACCAGUUGUUAGUGUUGUCUUAGUCAGGAACUAGUAACCGAUUCAAAACAGAUUUUUUUUUAGACCACAAAAAUAAUGCAGCUCUUCUCUUAUAAAGAUUGAGAAAAUAGGAGUCAUGACAUACCUUCUUCUAGAGUAACAGGUCAAAAAAAUUCUACAAAAAGUUAUGCUACUAAAAUCAUCCCUUUUUAACUGCUAAAUUCACCUGCUAGUACAUAUCAACCUGCUUGCUGUACUGCUUGGUUCUUGAAUUCCAAAACCCUUCUACUACAAGAGAUACCACCACAUCUAGAACAGUGUCAAAUAAAUAAUCAACAAUACAAAAGAUACUGAUUUUUUGUAUGUUUUAAAGCACGUGGUGACAAUAUGCGCUAUGCAAUUUAAUUUGUCUCAAAUUUCUGGUUUGAUGGAUUAUGAAGUUGUACUCUCCAUGAAAUACUAGGCACAAGAAUAACCAGUUAGGCAGCUUUUCUGCCUAAUAUACGAGUCUCUAAAGUUAACAUUCUUGGCAAUACAACACUAUAACUGACAUGCCUCUCAAUACUUAAGAGUCGCAAAACCAUGAAGCAUUGUAUAAGUUUGUAGCUUUGACAAGCAGUUACAGUUCUGGACAGAUCUCUUCUAUGUUGUCCACUCUAUUCUCCAGCUGGUCACUAGUAGCAUGUGCUGUAUAACAGAAAAAAGGAGAGAGAGAGAUUACAAAACAGAUUUAAAUAAAUAUUCAUGAUUUGAACCACAUGCACUAACAAGGCAUUCCUUCGUUGCCACAAAGAGCAGAGGUAACAUUUGGCAACCCUGAAACAUACUUGACUCAGGGUACGUCUACACUGCAAUGUAAGCCCAGGGUUUGAACUCAGACUCAAGCCUACCCCGCCCCCUUCCAUCUACAUACAAAUUGUGCUAAUCCAGGGUCCCAGGAUCCCACCAGCGUGGAGGGUCCAAGCCCAAGUCAAAUCAGGACCCAGGUUCAAGCCUUUUACUUUGCAGUGUAGAUGCAGCAAAUGAGAGUAGAUUAUCAAGCCCUAGGGUUAACAAACCCAAGAUCUGUUACCUCAAGUUGUACUAACCGUGGGCUUGUAUUGAAGUGUAGACAUACCCUCUGCAACCUGCAUUUUUUUCUGGGACCUCAGCCACUACCAAAACCCUCCCAAAUAGUUCACUUUAUUUUCUCCUAAAAUGCUGAAAAAACAGAACCUCUUAGCACAGGGAUGGCCAACCUGUGGAUCCAGAGCCACAUGCGGCUCUUCAGAAGUUAAUAUGCGGCUCCUUGUAUAGGCACCAACAUCGGGGCUGGAGCUACAGGCACCAACUUUCCAAUGUGCAGAGGUGCUCACUGCUCAAUCCCUGGCUCUGCCACAGGCUCUGGUCCCAUUCCACCCCUUCCCGCGCCCUCCCCUGAGUCUGCUAUGCCUUCGCUCCUCCCCUUACCCCUCCGAGCCUCCUGCAGGCCAGGAAACAGCUGAUCGGGAGGUGUGGGGAGGGAGGGGAAGCUGCUGACUGGUGGGGCUGCUGGUGGGCAGGAAGUGCUGGGAGCGGGGGGGAGCGCUGAUGGGGGGCUGCUGAUGCAUUACUGUGGCACUUUGGCAAUGUACACUGGCAAAUUUUGGCUCCUUCUCAGGGUCAGGUUGGCCACCCUUGUUUUCGCACAUACAAAGCAUGUGAGAACACAGGAUCCUUGCUGCACUACGUGGGACCCUGAUAUAUCCUACAAAAUUUCUGAGAAGCUACUCAUUUGCAGAGCCCAACAUACAAAAUUCCUGAAACACAGGCACACUCAUCCCUUUUUAGCUCAAUCUUUAACCCUGGGUGGACCCUCCUAUAGAGAGUUUUGAAAUAAAGCAGCAUAGCACUACAGUGAAAUGCUGCAGAAGUAUAGUUACAAUUAACACAUGCCCUCAAUUGCUAUUUCAGCCUCAUCAUGCUAUAUGAAUUAAAGAAACUAGCACAUUACUCAUGACUUCUAAGAUUUUCCUUAAAGGAUUUCUGAAUCAGACACACCCAAAUUUCAGCUCCAUACAGUAUUACUGAAGAAACUUUUGCAUUGAACACACACAAUACAUCAAAAGAAUGAUCUUAUUCCAACCCUAUAAGUAACUGUAAAACCAUCUUGCAAAUCCCAGAGAGCUUAAGAGAACACCAAAAAACAAUGCUUCCCACUUAUCUUGGCAGAAUGCAGUCCUAAAGUAUUUUUAUGCAGCCCAAGUAUUAAUUGGUUCAAAGCAACUGUCUAGUGGCUAGAACAAACAAGGAAACUUAGAAACAAGAAUAAGAACUUUUGUCUUUGAUAAAUUAUUUGAAGAGCCCAAUUUAAAAGGUAUCGGGGAAAGUGUUAACAGCCUCCAAAUGCCAAAAGGAGUCUGAGAUACAAGGAUAAAGUCUUUUGAGCAACCAAAUGGGGGAGUGAUGAUAUCCAUUGUGGCACAGAUAUAAACUUUAAAAAAGAAAGGCUCCCCACACCCUGACCCCUUUGCUACAGGAAAAGGAUUAGUCAAGCUGCCAGCACAGCCACAUCUAACCUAAAAAACCUUGCUACAGAGCAAAGCUCUGACUACAGUCACUAAACUAAAUUUUCCACAGCUUCAUGAAUUCCAUACAACAGAAGUUUGUGACUCAGUCCUGGGCAGAUUUUAGAUCUAUAAAAUAAAGUUUCCUGUGCUUAAUAGGUUAUGCAAAACAAUACAGUGGUAAACUUCAGCAAGGACAGAAGCUUAACUAGGGGCCCUACUGUUUCUGGAGGGAAAUCAAUGAACAAUUGCACUGGGAGCUGCUUAUAUGGCACCCAGUUCUACCCAGGUCUUUGAUCUGCGCAGGGGAGAUUUCAGAGGGCACACAGCACAACUGUGGUUUUCCCAUUUUAUCAUUGGUAUGAGUAUUUUGGACCUAAAAUUUCCUAUCCCUGAGUCAGUCAAGCCAAAUGUUCUCAAGUCCACUUUUUUGAAAAAACACCCACAAAUGCAGAGGGAAGAAUCUGUUGUGAAAAGUCUGUGUUCCUUCCUAAAUGGAUAUAAAACCUAGUUAAGCAAAUUUUAUCUCCUUUACAUUUAAAAAGCCUGUACAAGAUUUUUUAACUUUGUUUCCUCUUGCACUCAAAUCGGAGUUGAGAGUUGAUUUGGUUGGAUUUAACCAGGUAGCAAAGAGAUCAGUCUACGUUUCAUAUAAAGUGGCUUCAAAAUGACUGACCAAAAUCUACAACACCAGAAGCCAAAAGAUUAUUUUUUAACAACUGAACUCGAGCCUUUGCUAGUUUGUUAAUAGAAUGAGUCAACUGUGAAAUACACUAAUUCUUCCCCUAAAAAGAGCAGGGGGGGGAAAUCAGUUGAACUCAUAUGUAGUAUAAGAUGGAUGCAAUAGAAAAAUCUUAACAGAAUAAAGUGAAAUAGACAAAGGCAAUACUGUUUGUUUUAUAUCCUUUCUGAUUAUAGUACAGAAGAGAAAGAGAUCAUGACCUGGCCUAACAAACACCUUCUGUAUGAAAAAUUUAACUCAGUUGUUAGGAUCAAUCAAUAUUCCCCAUUUCUAGCUGGAAAACUGGUCUCCCUGGAACAUAGUCCCUGGGGAGCGAUAAAACCCAUUUUGGAUGAGAAUUACAAAAAAGAAGAUGCCCCAACUGGAUCCUAUGCUUACUUAACAUUUCCCUCAGAAGGAACUAUCAGAGCCCCACAAAGGGAUAAAAGACAUCUCCAGAAUCAGUGUCCUGCUCAGAACCCAAACAAGCACUGAAGUUACAAUCUAUAAAUCAAUCAGUUGGGCAAACAGUCCAUGAGGUAAAAAUUCUCUCCUACAGAUGAUCGCAAAGGAAGUUUGUCUCAGGAAGCAGAUACCAGUUUACUGACAUCCAGGGAACCUUAUCUUGUCUGAGGACCCUAACCAACAAACAGAAGCUAUAAAGAGAGAGCAGACAGGGCAAUUCAGAAGGAACUGAAGUAAUGCAGUAUAUAAUCCUAAAGCAAACCUACACAACUAUUAACACCAUGCUUUGCAUUUAAAAAAACAAAAAAACUAAAAACAAACAAAAACAAA